AUACGGAGGGUGCAAGCGUUAUUCGGAAUCACUGGGCGUAAAGGACGCGUAGGCGGGUUGGCAAGUCAGAUGUGAAAUCCUACAGCUUAACUGUAGAACUGCAUUUGAAACUGCUAACCUAGAGUAUGGGAGGGGGAGAUGGAAUUAGUGGUGUAGGGGUAAAAUCCGUAGAUAUCACUAGGAAUACCUAAAGCGAAGGCGAUCUCCUGGAACAUUACUGACGCUAAGGUGUGAAAGCGUGGGGAGCAAACAGGAUUAGAAACCCUAGUAGUCC
rnacentral:rRNA from 1 species